CAGCCACCUAGCCUCUGUGCUGCUUGCUGCCACAGAAGAGGGAGGUUCUUGGUUGUGGUUUGAGUGUGGAGGGUUUC